rnacentral:rRNA from 1 species
AGAGUUUGAUCCUGGCUCAGGACGAACGCUGGCGGCGUGCUUAACACAUGCAAGUCGAACGGAGCACCCUUGAUUGAGGUUUCGGCCAAAUGAUAGGAAUGCUUAGUGGCGGACUGGUGAGUAACGCGUGAGGAACCUGCCUUUCAGAGGGGGACAACAGUUGGAAACGACUGCUAAUACCGCAUGACGCAUUUUGAUCGCAUGGUCGAAAUGCCAAAGAUUUAUCGCUGAAAGAUGGCCUCGCGUCUGAUUAGCUAGUUGGUGAGGUAACGGCCCACCAAGGCGACGAUCAGUAGCCGGACUGAGAGGUUGACCGGCCACAUUGGGACUGAGAUACGGCCCAGACUCCUACGGGAGGCAGCAGUGGGGAAUAUUGGGCAAUGGGCGCAAGCCUGACCCAGCAACGCCGCGUGGAGGAAGAAGGUUUUCGGAUUGUAAACUCCUGUCGUUAGGGACGAUAAUGACGGUACCUAACAAGAAAGCACCGGCUAACUACGUGCCAGCAGCCGCGGUAAAACGUAGGGUGCAAGCGUUGUCCGGAAUUACUGGGUGUAAAGGGAGCGCAGGCGGGAAGACAAGUUGGAAGUGAAAACCAUGGGCUCAACCCAUGAAUUGCUUUCAAAACUGUUUUUCUUGAGUAGUGCAGAGGUAGAUGGAAUUCCCGGUGUAGCGGUGGAAUGCGUAGAUAUCGGGAGGAACACCAGUGGCGAAGGCGGUCUACUGGGCACCAACUGACGCUGAGGCUCGAAAGCAUGGGUAGCAAACAGGAUUAGAUACCCUGGUAGUCCAUGCCGUAAACGAUG